AUGCGGAGUAUAUUCAGGGAUGAUUUAGAAGGCUUGAAAAGGAAGCCAAAAUCAAAAGUAGAUUUUCAUUACGCAUCCCAAGACAGUGUUGCCUUUGAUGAUGUAAAGAAUAACAUCACCAACCCUGGGUCCAAAAUUCAGCUUCCUUACAAUUGGUUGGUGACAGAGCAAGACGAAGGUGAGAAUAUUGAAGCAAAGGCCAAAGAAAACAGUCUCUCCAAUGUGGGGCUUUAAUACGCAUGCCAAGAUAAUAUAUGGAAGCUCACAGACAUCUUUUCCAGAGAUUCAAAUCAUUGGAUCCAAGUGAAGGACAAGAAGAACCAUUGAAAGGACAAUAAGGAGGGUCAUGUGGAUGUUUGGCCUAGUUGUGGAGGCCUUUUCCCUUUAUUUAUUGUUUUUGUGUAUUUAUGUGUUAUGCUUUAUGUGUAAUUGUUUGUUCGUGAAUUUCCAUUUCAGUUUGUAUGUUAUGUAUGCCCAUGUAACAACUUAUCGGGUACUUGACUACUUGAAUUACUUGGACAAUUAUUUCUGCUGCAAUCAAUAUAUAAAUGAUCUUAUUUGAUUUUA